CUUCUAGUUCCAUUUCCCAUGGCUGUGAGCAGUUGCUCUCUUAUAUUCAAAGUUCCCCAGAAGCAUGUCAGAGCUGUGUCUCUGUCUUCUCAGCACAGCCUCUGCUAUUUCUCAGCUCUGCAUACUGGCCUUUGCCCAUUUUUCCACAGACUCUCCUUAGUACCAUAACUUCUUCCCACUCCCAGCAUGCUCUAGGGGUCCUACCUGCAGCUGCCUGCCUCUUGUGCUGCUUCACAGCCUCUAGCUGCUAUUUUUCUUUCUUCUCAUCUAAUGACCAUGUUACCUGCCUUCCCUGGAAUGUUCCUUCUACUCCCUUAAUUCUCCUUGUUCAACUCAUCCUUCAAUCUCAGCCUGCAUCCCUACCCUAGACCUCCUCUAACCUACUGACAAGGUCUAGCCUGCUGUUCAAACAUCUCAC
rnacentral:lncRNA from 1 species